CUGAGGGUGGUUAGUUCUAUAUCCUGUUUCUCCCAACAGCUCCAAAAGAUGGUUUCUCAGAAUGUAUAAUGAAGGGACUGGGAGCUCCGCCAGGCUGACCCUUCAUUUUGCAGUGGAAGCAGAGUCUCAAAGAAUGAGAAUUUGGAAGACAAGAAGGACCACUGGAACCUGAUAGAACUCUUCUCUAGUACUGGUGAAGUUACCUUCCUCCUGAAAUUUAAAAAAGAACAAACUGAGAUAGUGUCCCUGUAGUAUAAUUUUAUGUUCCAAAAUUAUUUGGGUGUGUUUUCAUGGAGACAGCUAAUACAUAACAUGUUAAUCUGCAACCCUAUUUGGGUUGUCUUUUUGCUAAGACUGACCACUGUUAGAAGACAAGGGCACUGUCUCCCUCCGUAAUAUGGACACUGAUGGCAGCACACAGAGGCACAUAGUGAAUGUUUACUCAACCAAUGGACUAAGGGAGUGGAUGCAGCUCAUUGAGUGAGGCUCAUUCUUUAGGCAAAGAAGGAGCAAGGGAUAAAUAACAUGCAACUUCCAGAAAGAGCAACAAGGAUACCAUUCCGGUAAAGAGUAGAAAAGACUAGUUUCCGGCUAGCAUCUGCCAAAGUUGGUCAGGAAGGAGGACAGCAAUGAUGAUCAUUUCUCAGAAAAUGUUUCUGUUCAGGCACGGAUGCAAUUGGCCUGGGAAACAAAGCCAUGCCGAGGAGCAGAGGCCAGGGGUCUUGCUGACCACCCUCCCUUUCCCUUACUUCAGCUUUCUCCCCCUCUCCCCACUCCUGCUAGUUAGCAGGGGACCCUGGAGUGUGAUUCAGAGUCCACCAGUCUCUGGAACUCAGGAAGGACUCGAAUUGUCAAGACGAGAGGAAAAAGAGGCCACAUCCAGAGGCUUUGACGGCUGUACUGCAAAACCUGACUGGUUAUAAAUUCUUGCUAAUGAAGAGAAUCAGGAAUUAUGGAAAAGUAGAAACUUCAGAAAUCACACAUACAAAACUUUGAGACCACUUUUAAAAAGCCUUAGAAGAUACUCUGAAGCACACAUUUGCCAAUGUGAAGUUUUCAACAGAAUCAAUAGGAUGGAGGCUGUGUAUGAGACUGUAUUAGUCAGCGUUCUGUCAAUGUGACAAAAAUACCCGAGUUAACUUAAAAGGAGGAACAAUUUAUUUUGACUCAUGGUGUCAGAGGUUUCAGCCCAUGGUGGGCCCAUUCACUUUGGGGCCCACAGUGAAGCAGAACAUCAUGGCAGUGGGAGCAUGUGGCAAGGAGGCUGCUCACUUCAGGGUGGCCAGGAAGCAGAGAGAGAGAGAGUUUGCCUCCAACUAGGCUCUACCUACUAAUGUUUGAUGGCCCCCAACUGCAGAGAGCAGUGAUCUAAAUCAUGGCCUGACUUUCAUGGCUGCAGUUGUGCUGGGAGCUGCCUGAGGAAAGGUGCAGGUCAAGAUGCCCCAGUAGUUAUGGUAACACCAGCUAGGAGAGGCUGCAUGUAUGGCUCUAUCAGUUGAGGCCUUGAGUUCAGCACCUUCUCCCAGGGAUAGAGAAUUUUGAGCAAAACAAGGUGACCCUAAUGUCUCUGGAGUCCUGUGUCCUUCAGAUUGCUUGCUUUGCUGAAACUUACUAACAAUGAAACUUUUAAUGAUAAAACCUGUAUAAUAAACUUGCUGAGCUAGCUCUGAGUUAGCCAAGCCUCACCAGGGCUUGGCCACCCACCUGGCCCUAGCUUUUUCUCCCUA